UGGAAGAAAGCAUUAUCCUGCCUACGUCUUGUGUCCAUACCUACAUAUAUACAUACUUGACCCUACUCUUGAUACUGCUUCUGAAUCUCUCCAGCAUAAUCCUGUCCCGAAGAAGCCUCCAGAUGCCUUCAGAAUCAAGCUAGACAUUUCCUCACUUGCAACUUGGAGUUUUUCUCAAAUACCCAAAGAGAAGACACUCACGUGAUAACAGCAUUAAAUAGUCUGCCUGUGACAAGCAAUUUGGAUUUUAUCGGAGUUAAUGCAAGGGACAUGAAAGAAGAAUGGUUUGAACCAUCUGGACCUGAGCUAAAUGCAAAUUCAGAGAAGAAUAGCAUGAUGCAGGGAAGACUUGGUACACUCGUGCUUACUAAGAGAGUCUUCUAAUGAAGGAGGUGUUACUCUCUCCAAAUGGAAUCGUCCAAGAUAGUUGCUGGACCUCCAGCAAUCCAGGAAGGUCCGCAUUCCAGGAAGAAAGAAGGAGAAAAUGGAGACAAAAUGGAAAAUAAAGUUCCUAC
rnacentral:lncRNA from 1 species